rnacentral:rRNA from 1 species
CCUACGGGUGACAGCAGUCGAGAAUCAUUCACAAUGGGGGAAACCCUGAUGGUGCGACGCCGCGUGGGGGAAUGAAGGUCUUCGGAUUGUAAACCCCUGUCAUGUGGGAGCAAAUUAAAAAGAUAGUACCACAAGAGGAAGAGACGGCUAACUCUGUACCAGCAGCCGCGGUAAUACAGAGGUCUCAAGCGUUGUUCGGAAUCACUGGGCGUAAGGCGUGCGUAGGCUGUUUCGUAAGUCGUGUGUGAAAGGCGCGGGCUCAACCCGCGGACGGCACAUGAUACUGCGAGACUAGAGUAAUGGAGGGGGAACCGGAAUUCUCGGUGUAGCAGUGAAAUGCGUAGAUAUCGAGAGGAACACUCGUGGCGAAGGCGGGUUCCUGGACAUUAACUGACGCUGAGGCACGAAGGCCAGGGGAGCGAAAGGGAUUAGAUACCCCAGUAGUC